rnacentral:rRNA from 1 species
UUCGCAAUGCCCGAAAGGGUGACGAAGCGACGCCGCGUGUGGGAAGAAGGCCUUCGGGUUGUAAACCACUGUCGGGAGUUAAGAAAUGCAAGGAUAUUAAUAGUGUCUUUGUUUGACUAAGGCUCCGGAGGAAGCCACGGCUAACUCUGUGCCAGCAGCCGCGGUAAUACAGAGGCGGCAAGCGUUGUUCGGAAUUAUUGGGCGUAAAGAGCACGUAGGCGGCUGUGUAAGUCGGUUGUGAAAGCCUUCCGCUCAACGGAAGAACGGCAUCCGAUACUGCAUGGCUUGAGUGUGGGAGGGGAGAGUGGAACUUCUGGUGGAGCGGUGAAAUGCGUAGAUAUCAGAAGGAACACCGGCGGCGAAGGCGACUCUCUGGUCCGUAACUGACGCUGAGUGUGCGAAAGCUAGGGGAGCAAACGGGAUUAGAUACCCCGGUAGUCCUAGCCGUAAACGAUGGGCACUAAGUAGAGGGGUUUU